GACAACAUCACAGGAAAACAACCCGUUUAGUGAAGUAAAACAUAUCUUCAAACAAGACAAAUCACUCUGCUAAUAAUGAAAAUCUUUUUAAAAUCACUGCAGAUUUUAAAAGUUGGUUUGUGUUUACCUACUGCGCAGCAUCAUGUCAGUCAGUAAGACACUGACUUUGUCUGACAAUAUGGCCUCAUAUUACAGAUCAUAUUAUGGUGUCAUUAAGGAGCCAGAAGGCCUCCUGGUCCUCAGUCACCUGACCCGUUUUUCCAGUAUGGCAUCUGGGAUUUCCAGAUGAAGGAAGUGGGUCGGCCUGUUCUCUGUGGGCUGCAGGAAACUGAUCCUUCCUCAGUGCUGGAGGGGGGUUCAGACCUCAGCGUGGAGUCCAUCUGACGUGAACAGCUGAGUGACGGUCAUCUCGUUCUUGGUCAGAGUUCCCGUCUUGUCUGAACAGAUCACAUUACAGCAGCCUGACGGAGAAAACAACAAGAGGUGUUGUGAAAUACAUUUACAUUUUCAGAAGAUCAUCCAAAAAAACAAAACAACGAGCUUCUGCAUCAUCCAAAAAGGAUCAGAAACUUUGUUUGUUAGAUAAUUUAAGGUUCUGGGGAGUUGUUGCAGUUAAUUUCUGUUAAAAAUAAAAUAAAUUUAAAUGUCUUUUUGAACCAGACACUUUUGCUCCUGUAGUCACAGUAACAUGCUUUGGUCUUGAGAGAGAGAGAAAAGCCAGAUCAUUUUUGAUUUCAUUGUCACUUCAUGUGAGCAGAGGAAACGUCAGAGCUACAGGUUCAAUCAGUGCUGUGAUCAUUUCUAUCAAUAACAAAUUCAGUUAAAACUGUCGUGUUGUAGAUAUGACAUAACACACUGCG